UACGUAGGGUGCAAGCGUUGUCCGGAAUUAUUGGGCGUAAAGAGCUCGUAGGCGGUCUGUUGCGUCGGCUGUGAAAACCCGGGGCUCAACUCCGGAUCUGCGGUGGGUACGGGCAGACUAGAGUGAUGUAGGGGAGACUGGAAUUCCUGGUGUAGCGGUGAAAUGCGCAGAUAUCAGGAGGAACACCGGUGGCGAAGGCGGGUCUCUGGGCAGUAACUGACGCUGAGGAGCGAAAGCGUGGGGAGCGAACAGG
rnacentral:rRNA from 1 species